UAACAAGGAACUCGACGAGGAAAACGAUGUGUUUCGCCCGUCGAGAUCCUCGGUCGUGUGUACGAGGCUUGAGAUUUCCAUGUUCCAAUGCCGUUCUACCCUGAUGGCUAACAAAUGAGAAGUAUCAGAUCACCAAGCAAAAGACAUGUCCUUAAGCAGGCAGAGGUCAGGGCGGGUAGCGUUAGGGUUGAGCUAUUACAUAGGCAGAAGGUCAAGGCAGGAGGCAGAUAGGCGUCAUAUCACAUGCAGAAGGUCGAAGUACGUGCCCUACAGACAACUGGAACCAGAAGACAGACUUAAUUUAAACAAGAGUAGAACUAGUCUGGUGUAGAACAGAAGAGCCAAAUUUAUCCUCCAUGCAAGGUGCCUGCUACAGUCACCCAACUUCUUUGUCCCAAUCUUUUUCUCUGCUAUAUGUGAAGUCACACGUACCCCACUGCCAGGCAAGAUUCCAGGUGACUUGAUCCAACAUGGCCAAAUAUCUUCUUAGUCUGUCUCAGUAAAACUGCCUGACAUAUUUUACACUUUUAUUUGAUUUAUAGUUCAUUUUAUCACGCUGCUACUAUUUUGAAAUGGUUCAUGCAAGGUUCUGAGCAGGAUGACAUCAUGGUAGCUUGUGUGAGGUUCUGAGCAAGAUGACAUCAUGGUAGCUUGUGUGAGGUUCUGAGCAGGAUGACAUCAUGGUAGCUUGUGUGAGGUUCUGAGCAAGAUGACAUCAUGGUAGCUUGUGUGAGGUUCUGAGCAGGAUGACAUCAUGGUAGCUUGUGUAAGGUUCUGAGCAAGAUGACAUCAUGGUAGCUUGUGUGAGGUUCUGAGAAGAAUGACAUCAUGGUAGCUUGUGUGAGGUUCUGAGCAAGAUGACAUCAUGGUAGCUUGUGUGAGGUUCUGAGCAGGAUGACAUCAUGGUAGCUUGUGUAAGGUUCUGAGCAAGAUGACAUCAUGGUGCCUCAUGGGAGGUCCUGUGCUGGAUGACAUCAUGGUAGCUUGUGUAAGGUUCUGAGCAAGAUGACAUCAUGGUAGCUUGUGUGAGGUUCUGAGCAGGAUGACAUCAUGGUAGCUUGUGUAAGGUUCUGAGCAAGAUGACAUCAUGGUGCCUCAUGGGAGGUCCUGUGCUGGAUGACAUUGUGGUGGUUUAUGUAAGGUCCUAAACAGAAUGACAUCUUGGUGGCUCAUGAGAGGUCCCUGGCGAGAUGACAUCAUGGUGGCUUACGUAAGGCCCUGAGCAGGAUUCCAUGGUGGCUCAUGAGGUCCUUAGUAGGAUGACAUCAUGGUGGCUUAUAUAAGGUUUUUUUAGCGGUAUGACAUCAUGAUGACUUGUGUGAGGUCUAUAGCAGGAUGACUUUAGGGUGGUUCAUGCAAGGUUCUUAGCAGGAUGACAUCACAGUGACUUGUGAGGUACUGAGCAUGUUAACAUCAGGGUGGCUCAUAUAAGGUUCUAAAAAGGAUGGCAUCAAGGUGGCUUGUGAGGUCCUUAGAAGAAUGACAUCAUGGUGGCUCAGGUGAGGUACAUAGUAGGAUUACAUCAUGGUGGCUUACAUGAGGUCUGGAGCAGGAUGACAUUUUGGUGGCUGGUGAGGUCCUGGGUAGGAUGACAUCAUAAUUUCUUAUGUGAGGUCCUGAGCAGGACAUCACUGUGGCUCACGUAUGGUCUUCAGCAGGUUAUCAUGGUGGCUCAUGUGAUGUCAUUAGCAGGAUGACUUUAUGGUGGCUCAUGUAAAGUUCCAAGCAGGAUGACAUCAUGGUGGCUCAUUUGAGGUCCCGAGUAGGAUGACAUCACAGUGGCUUCUGUGAGGUCCUUAGCAGAAUGACAUCACUGUGGCUCAUGUGAGGACCUGAGCAGGAUGACAUCUUGAUGGGUAGCGAGGUCCUGAGCAGAAUGACAUCCUGGGGGCUCAUAAGUUUCUGAGCAGGAAAACAGCACUGCGGCUCAUGUACGGUUCUUAGCUGGUUUACAUCAUGGUGGCUCAUGUGAUGUGUCUAGCAAGAUGACAUCAUGGGGGCUCAUACGAGAGCCUGAGCAGGAGGGCAUCGUGGUUGCUCAUGUGAUGUGUCUAGCAAGAUGACAUCAUGGUGGCUCAUGCGAGAGCCUGAGCAGGAUGGCAUUAUGGUGGCUCAUGUGAGAUCCUGAGCAGGAUGGCAUUAUGGUGGCUCAUGUGAGAGCCUGAGCAGGAUGGCAUCAUGGUGGCUCAUGUGAGAUCCUGAGCAGGAGGGCAUCAUGGUGGCUCAUGUGAUAUCCUGAGCAGGAUGGUAUCAUGGUUUUUCAUGCGAGGUCCUUUGCAGAAUGAUAUUAGAGUGCCCAACCAAAAAAAAAAAAAACAAGUUCUCUUAACUGCCCUUUCUGGAUGUUGAAUGUGGCAAGGUGCAGAGAAGGAAAGCUUAGUAUAAUCAGCAGGACAAGAAGAGGGGCAAUUAGGUAGACCUGUUGCAAAGCACAGGUUCACCUUAAAGUGAAUGUAUUACUUCGCACACAAGCAACCUAUCACCCCGCUAGAAACGUCUGAUGGCACCAAUUUUCAGGGCAUUGAUAGACUUUGUUCCGGCCCCCAUGACCACUGCUUGGGGCUUGUAGGUAAUAAAUAAGUCAUAAGAUUCUGCAGUGGUGCCGGAUGGUGCAGCUGCAGUAUUAUCACCAGGUCUUACAUUCUUUACCACCAGAUAUUGGGGGAGGGGGAGGGGGUGGUCAUCAUUUGUUGGGGGUGGGAUGAAGCUGUUAAGGGGGUCUCAGAGGGUACGUGGAUGUCCACGCUUGAGAUUAACAGCAUGUUAUUUCUUUGCACAAUAUAUGCAGAAUCUGACUGACCUUGUACAGAGAUACUUUGGAAAUGACAAAAACAGAAAAAAAACAAAACAAAAAAAAAAAAAUGAAGAAAAAAAAAAAAAAGACAGAAACAAUGUAUUCUUUUCUAUAUGUCUCCCGAUCUCCAUUUGUUGGAACUUCUUUGUACCAUGCCUGCUGACCCCGUUCCCUCAGUUCCUUAUGAUAAAUAUGCAUAUUCAUUAAAAAUUACGCAUUCUUGUUUCA